GCUGUAGCUCAGGGGCAGAGCAUCUGAUUUGCAUACAGAAGGUCCCAGGUGCAGUCUCUGGCAUCUCCA